UCCGGGUCACGUGACGCCAGCAGUGAAGGCUCAUAGCAGUGACCCUGGCACCUCGCUCGCCUGCAGCACCUCUGACAGGACACCUCGGGGAAAACAGGGAUAAGCCGCUUCUAAAUCCACAAAACACGUUUCCACGGGAUUAGUAAUUCCCUGGACGUCUGCGUUAUCUGUGUCAAGAAGGAGCGGACCGUUUGGAGGCGGCGAGCGGUCUGAACAUCAGCAGUUGAGUCUCUCCUCGGGGCUUCAGGCCGGCGUGCGCGUGGAGGAGGCCGCGUGGACGUGCGGCGGUGAGGCGUUCACUGCAGACGCGCUCAUUUAAAACGCGUCCGCCCACGUCCCGCAACAGCUGUCCAGAGACUCGUUCGAGCAAAGUGAUUUGUAAGCGCAGCCUACACGCGACGCACCAACGGUGGCGGCGUCACGUCGCCGGCAAAUUGCAGACAGCUUUUAAAAGUCCUACCGGGCGCUUUCACGCUUACGCGGCGGGUCACGGGUCCGCUGUUUGUUUUGAUUAGUGAAACGUGUCAAAACGAAAGCGAGAGGAGAUGAGAUCACGUCGCAAAUUGCUGCUUCGCGUGUUGCAAACUUGAUAAUGCGGUCCCGAGGGCGAGCGCAGGUGUGAACGCGGACCGCGCUCCCGCUGCCUCCGCGCCGACGGCGACGCAGACGCGUCACGCGACGCGGCGAGCGUCGCCCUCGCGAGCUUCAACUAACGAGGUCCGACAAAUUUAGAAGCUUUCUGGCAGAUGCGAUUAGCGGUCAGUCAUUGGGCCCGAGCAGGUUGGAUGGAUGCUGUGAAAGAGGUUCUUUGUGGCUCAAAAGAAGCGGAGGAAUGAUCGCCGUGACCGGAACCGUUCAACGUUCUAUGGGAAUGAGAGAGGUUGUCACCGUGAAUCUCCUCCUCCUCUCUAUUUACCGCAGGUGUAAUUUCCCCGCGUACAAGGAGACCUGUCAUCCCUAAUAUUUCCCAUAAAUCAUUUAUCCGUCCUCAAUUAAGUUUAUGGAGUGUCCACAACAAUGUCCUCAAACGCGGGAGGAAAAGUGAAGCCCACGCGGAGGAGAGUGUCUGAUUCCGAGCGGUCGCGUCAGCGGCGAGUUCAUUAACUGGGGGAAAAAAAUGGGCUUUGCUGUUUCACAGGAGAAAAGACAUCAGUCUGUGUCCAGCUAACGGCUAAAAGCUAACGGUUCGAUCCAUCCACCUCCUGUCUCCUCGCCCCAUGAUCGGCUCAGGUGUAGAGGCCAUUAACGCACCUGGAGCCGAGCACAACGAGGCCCAGCCCCCGAUUCAUCAGCACCUCCCCCUUCAUUGGACCGGAACCUGGACCCUGUACGUCCACAAUCAUCACCUGCUGCUGAUGUCACGGUGGAGUGCUGCGUUUGAGGCACGUCAGAUUAAACGGGAACCCCGGCUUCCGCUAGCUUAACUCCUGACUCAUCGCAGAGGACCCAAAAGAUGUGCGGGCUCUUCGGGUGGAGGCGAAACCCACCCGAGUUGUUUCCGUGUCAUCGCUGCCAGGUCACGAUAGCCGACGUUCGACUGGGGCAGCGAAGGCAGCACUUCCUGGAUGAGUCACGCGCCCCCGCUAAAUGUGGAAGCCGCUUCUAGGAACGCUCCAAAGCUCCAUUUGUGGAGUCAGGUGGACGCGUGGGGUCCCGGGGGCUUGGGUGAAGCAAGAACCGUUAUGUGCGUGCUAUGUGGGGCGCCUUUGGGUCCGCUUCAUGAGCGUCGCUCAGACGUGAAAUGCUGCUCUGUGUCCAUGUGCUGGUUCUGCUGCUCAGGUCAGCGUGCCACAGGAUCCCAUUAGGAACACAGUGAGCUUGAAGAAUGGAACCCGCAGCAUCUCCAGCGGUUCCCUGAGGGCCCAAACACCGGCCUCCGCUGAGGACAGAGGCCUUUUUGGGUCUUUGAACACAACCCAACCCCCACCAGGCUCCUGAAAAUGAUCCCCCAACACUCAGACAGCAGCUCGCUCAGCUGUUCCCAGGUUUGAAAGGCUCCCUUUCUCACCUGAGCAGCCUCACUGAACAUCCUCCGUCCGUCGCUGCUUCUAAAAUUGCUUCAGCAGUUCCUUUUUCGGACUGGAGAACCGACCGAAGCCUCAGUGCAGCCUAAUGUAACGUGUGAUGCAGCUUUACUUUUUAAUUCUUGCAAAUCAUGCUGAUGAUGCACCUCUUAUAAGUCUGCACAAAGUAAACUAAACAUUUAUCAAAUGUUUGUUCGUUUAGUUUGACUGGAUUAAUUGAAAAAUAGUUUCAGCUCUCGCCAACAAGUGGCCUCAUCUGCACAUUUCAUGUCCUCGACCUCCAACAAAGGAGCACAACAAGGUGCCGCUCGAAACCACUUGGCUGAAAACAACAUUUUCUGUUUUGCCGGCUCAUUUUUCCAACUUAAUGGUGAGGAGAGUCCUGCGAGGGCCCGAAUGUGAGCGAUCGACCCACAGAGGUGGCGCGCGGGUCGGCCGCCGUCGAGGCAUAAUGGCUCAUGAAGUCGCACCAGGUAACGGCUGCUAAAAAAUUUAAAAUGUACCGAAACGAAAUAUCACUUCAAGCUGCGAAUAUUGGAAAACUGGAGCGAUGCUGAAGAGAGGGCAAGUGGGACCGCGAGCGUGUACGUGAGGGCAAGUGUGUAGGUGUGUAUGAGUGAGUGAGCACGAAGAGGAGCUGAUCCUAUCAGACGCUUGUCAGGUCCUGUUGGGUUUCUCUCUAUAAACCUGCGAACGAGGAGACUUGUGCUGCACUUACACUUUUUGCCCUCCUUCCAGUCUAUAUGUCUCUCGCUCACACACUCUCUCUGUCAGUCGCUUCCUGUUUUCCUCUGUCUUCCUACAUUUCCCCUUUUCUCACAUCAUUAGUCUCUCGGUGUCUCCCCUUGUUCUCUCCCAGGAGCUC